rnacentral:rRNA from 1 species
UUAAGCGACUAAGCGUACACGGUGGAUGCCCUGGCAGUCAGAGGCGAUGAAGGACGUGCUAAUCUGCGAAAAGCGUCGGUAAGGUGAUAUGAACCGUUAUAACCGGCGAUGUCCGAAUGGGGAAACCCAGUGUGAUUCGUCACACUAUCGUUAACUGAAUACAUAGGUUAACGAGGCGAACCGGGGGAACUGAAACAUCUAAGUACCCCGAGGAAAAGAAAUCAACCGAGAUUCCCCCAGUAGCGGCGAGCGAACGGGGAGCAGCCCAGAGUCUGAAUCAGCUUGUGUGUUAGUGGAACGGUCUGGAAAGUCCGACGGUACAGGGUGAUAGUCCCGUACACCAAAAUGCACAGGCUGUGAACUCGAAGAGUAGGGCGGGACACGUGGUAUCCUGUCUGAAUAUGGGGGGACCAUCCUCCAAGGCUAAAUACUCCUGACUGACCGAUAGUGAACCAGUACCGUGAGGGAAAGGCGAAAAGAACCCCGGCGAGGGGAGUGAAAAAGAACCUGAAACCGUGUACGUACAAGCAGUGGGAGCACCUUCGGGUGUGACUGCGUACCUUUUGUAUAAUGGGUCAGCGACUUAUAUUCUGUAGCAAGGUUAACCGUAUAGGGGAGCCGCAGGGAAACCGAGUCUUAACUGGGCGUUAAGUUGCAGGGUAUAGACCCGAAACCCGGUGAUCAGCCAUGGGCAGGUUGAAGGUUGGGUAACACUAACUGGAGGACCGAACCGACUAAUGUUGAAAAAUUAGCGGAUGACUUGUGGCUGGGGGUGAAAGGCCAAUCAAACCGGGAGAUAGCUGGUUCUCCCCGAAAGCUAUUUAGGUAGCGCCUCGUGAACUCAUCUUCGGGGGUAGAGCACUGUUUCGGCUAGGGGGUCAUCCCGACUUACCAACCCGAUGCAAACUACGAAUACCGAAGAAUGUUAUCACGGGAGACACACGGCGGGUGCUAACGUCCGUCGUGAAGAGGGAAACAACCCAGACCGCCAGCUAAGGUCCCAAAGUCAUGGUUAAGUGGGAAACGAUGUGGGAAGGCACAGACAGCCAGGAUGUUGGCUUAGAAGCAGCCAUCAUUUAAAGAAAGCGUAAUAGCUCACUGGUCGAGUCGGCCUGCGCGGAAGAUGUAACGGGGCUAAACCAUGCACCGAAGCUGCGGCAGCGACACUAUGUGUUGUUGGGUAGGGGAGCGUUCUGUAAGCCUGCGAAGGUGACCUGUGAGGGUUGCUGGAGGUAUCAGAAGUGCGAAUGCUGACAUAAGUAACGAUAAAGCGGGUGAAAAGCCCGCUCGCCGGAAGACCAAGGGUUCCUGUCCAACGUUAAUCGGGGCAGGGUGAGUCGACCCCUAAGGCGAGGCCGAAAGGCGUAGUCGAUGGGAAACAGGUUAAUAUUCCUGUACUUGGUGUUACUGCGAAGGGGGGACGGAGAAGGCUAUGUUAGCCGGGCGACGGUUGUCCCGGUUUAAGCAUGUAGGCUGGUUAUCCAGGCAAAUCCGGAUAAUCAAGGCUGAGGUGUGAUGACGAGGCACUACGGUGCUGAAGUAACAAAUGCCCUGCUUCCAGGAAAAGCCUCUAAGCAUCAGGUAACAUCAAAUCGUACCCCAAACCGACACAGGUGGUCAGGUAGAGAAUACCAAGGCGCUUGAGAGAACUCGGGUGAAGGAACUAGGCAAAAUGGUGCCGUAACUUCGGGAGAAGGCACGCUGGUGUGUAGGUGAAGCCCCUGCGGGUGGAGCUGAGACCAGUCGAAGAUACCAGCUGGCUGCAACUGUUUAUUAAAAACACAGCACUGUGCAAACACGAAAGUGGACGUAUACGGUGUGACGCCUGCCCGGUGCCGGAAGGUUAAUUGAUGGGGUUAUCCGUAAGGAGAAGCUCUUGAUCGAAGCCCCGGUAAACGGCGGCCGUAACUAUAACGGUCCUAAGGUAGCGAAAUUCCUUGUCGGGUAAGUUCCGACCUGCACGAAUGGCGUAAUGAUGGCCAGGCUGUCUCCACCCGAGACUCAGUGAAAUUGAACUCGCUGUGAAGAUGCAGUGUACCCGCGGCAAGACGGAAAGACCCCGUGAACCUUUACUAUAGCUUGACACUGAACAUUGAGCCUUGAUGUGUAGGAUAGGUGGGAGGCUUUGAAGCGUGGACGCCAGUCUGCGUGGAGCCAACCUUGAAAUACCACCCUUUAAUGUUUGAUGUUCUAACGUUGGCCCCUUACCGGGGUUGCGGACAGUGUCUGGUGGGUAGUUUGACUGGGGCGGUCUCCUCCCAAAGCGUAACGGAGGAGCACGAAGGUUAGCUAAUCCUGGUCGGACAUCAGGAGGUUAGUGCAAUGGCAUAAGCUAGCUUGACUGCGAGCGUGACGGCGCGAGCAGGUGCGAAAGCAGGUCAUAGUGAUCCGGUGGUUCUGAAUGGAAGGGCCAUCGCUCAACGGAUAAAAGGUACUCCGGGGAUAACAGGCUGAUACCGCCCAAGAGUUCAUAUCGACGGCGGUGUUUGGCACCUCGAUGUCGGCUCAUCACAUCCUGGGGCUGAAGUAGGUCCCAAGGGUAUGGCUGUUCGCCAUUUAAAGUGGUACGCGAGCUGGGUUUAGAACGUCGUGAGACAGUUCGGUCCCUAUCUGCCGUGGGCGCUGGAGAAUUGAGGGGGGCUGCUCCUAGUACGAGAGGACCGGAGUGGACGCAUCACUGGUGUUCGGGUUGUCAUGCCAAUGGCACUGCCCGGUAGCUAAAUGCGGAAGAGAUAAGUGCUGAAAGCAUCUAAGCACGAAACUUGCCCCGAGAUGAGUUCUCCCUGAGACUUUAAGUCUCCUGAAGGAACGUUGAAGACGACGACGUUGAUAGGCCGGGUGUGUAAGCGCAGCGAUGCGUUGAGCUAACCGGUACUAAUGAACCGUGAGGCUUAACCU